rnacentral:lncRNA from 1 species
UAAAUUUUGUUUCUCUUCCUUUCUAAUCUGAAAAGAAGAAACCCUCACCACUCGAAAAUCAAUCACUCAGUUUCGAAGAAAUUCUUUCUUUUUCCUUCUUCUCGGAUAAAAGAAACCCAGGGACCCUUCCUUCUUUCUUCUCCUCAGAUAGAAGAAACCCUAACAUGGUUGUGUCUCCCCAUGUCACACCCUUCCUUCUUCGUUCUUCGUAGCAAAGAAGUCAUUGACGAUUUAUUUGAAAGCCUAGCCAGGGCCACUACAUAUUCUAGGUGAUUCCUCUACCAUUUUCAUUUUUCCUAUGGUCCGUAAUAAUGCCUCUAAUGUUUCUUUUUUCUAUCUAUGGCCUUUUUUGCUUUUAAAUCCAUUGUGUAAUGCGCUUAUCUUUUUCGAGCUGUUUCUUUAGGGCAUUGAUUGAGGCAUUUGGACGCCAGAGAAGGCGACGUAGACGAAGACGCCAACACGGUCCGCCACGAAGGUGCGGAUGGGGGCGACGUUCGUUUGGGUGUAAAGUCGCCAUGAAUUAGAGAAUAGCGACAUGGAAGAGAUAAACAAGGCGAGCAUCUG